AGGGCAAUUGCUGGGUUAUAUGGUAAGCACAUGUUUAGUUUUGUAAGAACUGCCAUACUCUUUUCCAGAUUGCCUGUGCCAUUUUACAAUCCCAGCAGCAAU
rnacentral:pre_miRNA from 1 species